rnacentral:rRNA from 1 species
CCUACGGGCGGCAGCAGUGGGGAAUAUUGCGCAAUGGGCGAAAGCCUGACGCAGCGACGCCGCGUGAGGGAUGAAGGUCUUCGGAUCGUAAACCUCUGUCAGCAGGGAAGAACGGUCACUGUGCUAAUCAGCAGUGAAUUGACGGUACCUGCAAAGGAAGCACCGGCUAACUCCGUGCCAGCAGCCGCGGUAAUACGGAGGGUGCGAGCGUUAAUCGGAAUUACUGGGCGUAAAGCGCUCGUAGGCGGUAUGUCAAGUCAAGGGUGAAAGCCCCGCGCUCAACGGGGGAACUGCCUUUGAGACUGGCAGACUGGAGUGUGUGAGAGGUAAGUGGAAUUCGAGGUGUAGGAGUGAAAUCCGUAGAUAUCUGGAGGAACACCAGUGGCGAAGGCGACUAUCUGGAACGUAACUGACGCUGAGGAGCGAAAGCGUGGGUAGCAAACAGGAUUAGAUACCCCAGUAGUC